AGGCAGCAGUAAGGAAUAUUGGUAAUGGGCGAAAGCCUGAACCAGCAACGCCGCGUGUGCGAUGAAGGCCUUCGGGUUGUAAAGCACUUUUUGAGGGGAUGAGGAAGGACAGUACCCUCAGAAUAAGUCUCGGCUAACUACGUGCCAGCAGCCGCGGUAACACGUAGGAGACUAGCGUUAUCCGGAUUUACUGGGCGUAAAGCGCGUGCAGGUGGCUCGGAAAGUCCGAUGUGAAAGCUCCCGGCUUAACUGGGAGAGGUCGUUGAAUAUUUCGGGCUAGAGGAUGGGAGAGGGAGGCGGAAUUCCGGGUGUAGUGGUGAAAUGCGUAGAUAUCCGGAGGAACACCAGUGGCGAAAGCGGCCUCCUGGCCCAUUUCUGACACUCAGACGCGAAGGCUAGGGUAGCAAACAGGAUUAGAUACCCCGGUAG
rnacentral:rRNA from 1 species